UGAUCGCUGGAGAUAAAGUGCUUUUAUGA
rnacentral:piRNA from 1 species